rnacentral:rRNA from 1 species
UACGUAGGGUGCAAGCGUUAAUCGGAAUUACUGGGCGUAAAGCGUGCGCAGGCGGCUUUGCAAGACAGAUGUGAAAUCCCCGGGCUUAACCUGGGAACUGCAUUUGUGACUGCAUGGCUGGAGUGCGGCAGAGGGGGAUGGAAUUCCGCGUGUAGCAGUGAAAUGCGUAGAUAUGCGGAGGAACACCGAUGGCGAAGGCAAUCCCCUGGGCCUGCACUGACGCUCAUGCCCGAAAGCGUGGGGGGCAAACAGG